CAGCGCAGGCUGCCGCCAUGAUGAAGUUGUGAGUGGCCGGGGUCCGUUGCGUGGUGGCCAUGUUCUUCCUUAUGCUGCCUGGCUCUGUGCAACCUGUGGAGAUCAUGGAGACAGAUUUCCAAGAGGCCCAUUGCUUGGAAAAGAUGCGAAAAAGAUCCUUUCACUCUGCAACACCAUUGGAGGCCGGGGCUUCCGGGCCACGUGCUUCAGCGCUCUGCUGCCUGCCCCUCGAAGUAAAAGGAGGUUCCCGGGGGGCAGUAGCAGCCCUCGGGCCUUAUGGCCAAGGGGCUCUGAUGCGUUUUCAACACUGAUUCCAAGUUCAGUGGGGGGCCUUGACUUAUUAAGGGUGAUAGGAAGUAGAAAACGAGUUUGCUGUGCGUGAGGAGGAAGCGCUGUGGCCAGUGAGUGUUCCGGAGCAGGCUUCGGAAGUUGGAAGAAAAGGCAGGUGGCGGCAGAAAGAUUGAGUGGGCACUGGAGCAGACGGCAUUUAAGCUAUCCAAGUCCGCUGGGCAAGAGGAGGACAGCUAACAUUCUAACAAAGGCUUCUUCCAAAGUAGAAAGACUGCUGCAUUUUCUACCCUGAUUUGCUGUGGAAAACUUGUGUUGAAGAAGAAUGUCUGGUGUGCAGAUUUUUCCCAAUGUCUGAUCAUGUCUCACUGUAUUUAUGAAUCUUUUGAAGUGGGUUGUACUCCAAUAUUAAUGUUUUAGCAUCCUGGAAGAAGUUGAAGCAUUCUCAGUGCCAUCUUCCAAUCCUGGAAAUACGACCUUUACAACUGUCCAUCGCUCUUAGUAAAACUCACAAGAACUCAUCUUCUGGAGAACA